GCAGUCGAACGGCAGCAUGAUCUAGCUUGCUAGAUUGAUGGCGAGUGGCGAACGGGUGAGUAAUACAUCGGAACGUGCCCUGUAGUGGGGGAUAACUAGUCGAAAGAUUAGCUAAUACCGCAUACGACCUGAGGGUGAAAGUGGGGGACCGCAAGGCCUCAUGCUAUAGGAGCGGCCGAUGUCUGAUUAGCUAGUUGGUGAGGUAAAGGCUCACCAAGGCGACGAUCAGUAGCUGGUCUGAGAGGACGAUCAGCCACACUGGGACUGAGACACGGCCCAGACUCCUACGGGAGGCAGCAGUGGGGAAUUUUGGACAAUGGGGGCAACCCUGAUCCAGCAAUGCCGCGUGUGUGAAGAAGGCCUUCGGGUUGUAAAGCACUUUUGUCCGGAAAGAAAUCGCACUUACUAAUAUUAGGUGUGGAUGACGGUACCGGAAGAAUAAGGACCGGCUAACUACGUGCCAGCAGCCGCGGUAAUACGUAGGGUCCAAGCGUUAAUCGGAAUUACUGGGCGUAAAGCGUGCGCAGGCGGUUGUGCAAGACCGAUGUGAAAUCCCCGGGCUUAACCUGGGAAUUGCAUUGGUGACUGCACGGCUAGAGUGUGUCAGAGGGGGGUAGAAUUCCACGUGUAGCAGUGAAAUGCGUAGAGAUGUGGAGGAAUACCGAUGGCGAAGGCAGCCCCCUGGGAUAACACUGACGCUCAUGCACGAAAGCGUGGGGAGCAAACAGGAUUAGAUACCCUGGUAGUCCACGCCCUAAACGAUGUCAACUAGUUGUUGGGGAUUCAUUUCCUUAGUAACGUAGCUAACGCGUGAAGUUGACCGCCUGGGGAGUACGGUCGCAAGAUUAAAACUCAAAGGAAUUGACGGGGACCCGCACAAGCGGUGGAUGAUGUGGAUUAAUUCGAUGCAACGCGAAAAACCUUACCUACCCUUGACAUGCCACUAACGAAGCAGAGAUGCAUUAGGUGCUCGAAAGAGAAAGUGGACACAGGUGCUGCAUGGCUGUCGUCAGCUCGUGUCGUGAGAUGUUGGGUUAAGUCCCGCAACGAGCGCAACCCUUGUCUCUAGUUGCUACGAAAGGGCACUCUAGAGAGACUGCCGGUGACAAACCGGAGGAAGGUGGGGAUGACGUCAAGUCCUCAUGGCCCUUAUGGGUAGGGCUUCACACGUCAUACAAUGGUGCAUACAGAGGGUUGCCAAGCCGCGAGGUGGAGCUAAUCCCAGAAAAUGCAUCGUAGUCCGGAUCGUAGUCUGCAACUCGACUACGGAAGCUGGAAUCGCUAGUAUCGCGGAUCA
rnacentral:rRNA from 1 species